AACGAACGCUGGCGGCAUGCCUAACACAUGCAAGUCGAACGGGAUCCACCUUUCGGGGUGGUGAGAGUGGCGGACGGGUGAGUAACACGUGGGAACCUACCUUUUGGUUCGGGAUAACCGCGGGAAACUGCGGCUAAUACCGGAUGUACCCGCGAGGGGAAAGAUUUAUCGCCAGAAGAGGGGCCCGCGUCCGAUUAGGUAGUUGGUAGGGUAAAGGCCUACCAAGCCGACGAUCGGUAGCUGGUCUGAGAGGAUGAUCAGCCACACUGGGACUGAGAUACGGCCCAGACUCCUACGGGAGGCAGCAGUGGGGAAUAUUGGACAAUGGGGGCAACCCUGAUCCAGCAAUGCCGCGUGAGUGAUGAAGGCCUUAGGGUUGUAAAGCUCUUUUGCCAGGGAAGAUGAUGACGGUACCUGGAGAAUAAGCCCCGGCUAACUUCGUGCCAGCAGCCGCGGUAAUACGAAGGGGGCUAGCGUUGUUCGGAAUUACUGGGCGUAAAGGGCGCGUAGGCGGCCAUCUAAGUUAGGUGUGAAAGUCCUGGGCUCAACCUGGGGACUGCACUUAAUACUGGGUGGCUUGAAUUCGGGAGAGGAUAGCGGAAUUCCCCGAGUGUAGAGGUGAAAUUCGUAGAUAUUGGGAAGAACACCGGUGGCGAAGGCGGCUAUCUGGACCGACAUUGACGCUGAGGCGCGAAAGCGU
rnacentral:rRNA from 1 species